UCAAGAUAUAAAGGGCAUACGGUGGAUGCCUAGGCGCUAAGAGCCGAAGAAGGGCGCGGCCAGCAGCGAAAUGCCACGGGGAGCCGUAAGCAGGCAACGAUCCGUGGAUACCCGAAUGGGGCAACCCAUCCGGAGUCAUAUCCGGAUAUCACAAGCUGAAUUCAUAGGCUUGAUGAGGGCAAGCCGGGGAACUGAAACAUCUAAGUACCCGGAGGAAAAGAAAGAAAACUCGAUUCCCCCAGUAGCGGCGAGCGAAGCGGGAAUAGCCCAAACCUUACUUUACGGAGUAAGGGGUUGUAGGACUCUAGAAGUAGGAGUAGUAAGUUUAGCUGAAGAGAACUGGAAAGUUCCGGCGAAGAAGGUAAAACCCCUGUAAGCGAAAAGCGAGCUACCCGAAAGAGUAUCCUGAGUACCGCGGGGCACGAGGAAUCCCGUGGGAAUCCGGGGGGCCCACCCCCCAAGGCUAAAUACUCCUUAGCGACCGAUAGCGAACAAGUACCGUGAGGGAAAGGUGAAAAGCACCCCGGGAGGGGAGUGAAAUAGAACCUGAAACCGUAUGCUUACAAGCAGUCAGAGCACAAAAGUGUGAUGGCGUGCCUUUUGUAGAAUGAACCAGCGAGUUGUGAUAUGCAGCGAGGUUAAGGACUAAAGGUCUGGAGCCGAAGCGAAAGCGAGUCUGAAGAGGGCGUAUAGUUGCAUGUUGCAGACCCGAAACCGUGUGAUCUACCCAUGGCCAGAGUGAAGGUGAGGUAAAGCUCACUGGAGGCUCGAACCCACUGUCGUUGAAAAGACAGGGGAUGAGCUGUGGGUAGGGGUGAAAAGCCAAUCGAACACGGAAAUAGCUGGUACUCCCCGAAAUAGCUUUAGGGCUAGCCUCAAUGGAUUGUAUACGGGGGUAGAGCACUGAAUGGGCUAGGGGCCUAUCGGUUACCGACCCCUAUCAAACUACGAAUACCGUAUACUAAGAAAUUGGGAGUCAGACUAUGGGGGAUAAGCUUCAUAGUCGAGAGGGAAACAGCCCAGACCGUCGGCUAAGGUCCCCAAGGCUACGCUAAGUGGAAAAGGAUGUGGGACUGCCCGGACAACCAGGAUGUUGGCUUAGAAGCAGCCACCAUUUAAAGAGUGCGUAAUAGCUCACUGGUCGAGUGGUUUUGCGCCGAAAAUGUAACGGGGCUCAAGUGUAGCACCGAAGCCGCGGCAUCGAGGAAUCGAUGGGUAGGGGAGCAUUGUAAGAGCACAGAAGGUAAACCGUGAGGUUUGCUGGAGCGCUUACAAGAGAGAAUGCUGGUAUGAGUAAGCGAAAAGGAAGGUGAGAAUCCUUCCCGCCGAAAAUCUAAGGUUUCCUGGGGAAGGCUCGUCCGCCCAGGGUAAGUCGGGACCUAAGCUGAGGCCGAAAGGCGUAGGUGAUGGACAAUUGGUUGAGAUUCCAAUACCACCAUAAAUCGUUAUCAGCGAUGGGGUGACACAGGAGGAUGCCCCGAGCGUGCGGUUGGAAGAGCACGUCCAAGCUACAAGUGGGUGCUGUAGGCAAAUCCGCAGCAUAUAACCAUGAGUAGUGAUGGGGAGCGAAAAUAAGUAGCGAAGCGGGAAAGUUCAAACUGUCAAGAAAAGCCUCUAGUGAGAUUUGUGGUGCCCGUACCGUAAACCGACACAGGUAGAUGAGGAGAGAAUCCUAAGGCGCGCGAGAUAACCCUCGUUAAGGAACUAGGCAAAAUGACCCCGUAACUUCGGGAGAAGGGGUGCUCUUGAAAAAGAGCCGCAGAGAAAUAGUCCAGACGACUGUUUAGCAAAAACACAGGUCCCUGCCAAUCCGAAAGGAGAAGUAUAGGGGCUGACGCCUGCCCGGUGCUGGAAGGUUAAGAGGAGGGGUUAGCGAAAGCGAAGCUCUGAAUUGAAGCCCCAGUAAACGGCGGCCGUAACUAUAACGGUCCUAAGGUAGCGAAAUUCCUUGUCGGGUAAGUUCCGACCCGCACGAAAGGCGUAACGAUCUGGACACUGUCUCAACGAGGGACUCGGCGAAAUUGUAAUACCGGUAAAGAUGCCGGUUACCUGCGACAGGACAGAAAGACCCCAUGGAGCUUUACUGCAGCUUGACAUUGGAUUUUGGUAUAGAAUGUACAGGAUAGGUGGGAGGCAAAGAAGCAAGAACGCCAGUUUUUGUGGAGCCGUCGGUGGGAUACCACUCUUUCUGUGCUGAAGUUCUAACCAUAGCCCUUGAAACAGGGUUUGGGACAUUGUCAGGCGGGCGGUUUGACUGGGGCGGUCGCCUCCCAAAGAGUAACGGAGGCGCCCAAAGGUUCCCUCAGUGCGGAUGGAAAUCGCACGUAGAGUGUAAAGGCAAAAGGGAGCUUAACAGAGAGACUGACAAGUCGACCUGGUACGAAAGUAGGGCUUAGUGAUCCGGUGGUACCGAGUGGAAGGGCCAUCGCUCAACGGAUAAAAGCUACCCUGGGGAUAACAGGCUUAUCUCCCCCAAGAGUUCACAUCGACGGGGAGGUUUGGCACCUCGAUGUCGGCUCAUCGCAUCCUGGGGCUGUAGUAGGUCCCAAGGGUUUGGCUGUUCGCCAAUUAAAGCGGUACGUGAGCUGGGUUCAGAACGUCGUGAGACAGUUCGGUCCCUAUCCGUCGCAGGCGUAGGAAAUUUGAGAGGAUCUGUCCCUAGUACGAGAGGACCGGGAUGGACGAAUCACUGGUGUACCAGUUGUUCCGCCAGGGGCAUAGCUGGGUAGCUAUAUUCGGACUGGAUAAACGCUGAAAGCAUCUAAGCGUGAAGCCAACCUCAAGAUGAGAUUUCCCACAGAGUUAAUCUGGUAAGACCCCUGAAAGAUUAUCAGGUAGAUAGGCCGGGAGUGGAAGCAUGGUGACAUGUGGAGCGGACCGGUACUAAUAGGUCGAGGUCUUGACCUU
rnacentral:rRNA from 1 species